UUUAUGUGGAAUGUAUUGACUGGAAUACUCGCAGAGUCAAUGUACGAACAUCUAGAAAAAAUGGAGUCCUGCCACACGAGCAGAAGGGUUGCAAGCGUAAGUGCAGAGGUACCAAGGAUCAAUUCCUGAUAGAUAAAACUGUAUUCAGAGACUGCAAGAGGAGGAAAACUAAAUUAGCCAUGUCAUGGAUUGACUAUCGUAAGGCGUACGAUAUGAUCCUACAUUCUUGGAUUAUGGAGUGUAUAAACCUGUUUGGGAUUGCAUCGAAUGUUGAGCGAUUGCUUGGAAAAAAUAUGACGAAUUGGAAAAAGGACUUGACAACGUACGGAAGAAGUUUUGGGACAGUAGAAAUUAGGAAGGGCAUCUUAUAAGGAGACUGACCCAAAACUUUGGUUGGCCUGAGGCAGAAGACACUUGCCCAAGGUGCCACGCAGUGGGACUGAACCCGAAACCAUGUUGUUGGGAAGCAAGCUUCUUAGCAUAUAGCAUAUAGCAUAUAGCCUAUGAUGAUCCUUUCAACUAUAGGCCUGAAAUUUGGGGGAAGGCGGCAAGUCGAUUCCAUCGCCCCCAGUGCGUAAGUGGUUCUUAUCGACUUCAGAAAAUAAAAGGUAAAGUCGACCUUGAUGGAAUUUGAACUCAGAAAGUAUAGGCGCAGGAGUGGCUGUGUGGUAAGUAGCUUGCUUACCAACCACAUGGUCCCGAGUUCAGUACCACUGCGUAGCAACCUUGGGUAAGUUUCUUCUACUAUAGCCUCGGGCCGACCAAAGGCUUGUGAGUGGAUUUGGUAGACGGAAACUGGAAGAAGCCCGUCGUAUAUAUGUAUAUAUGUGUAUUUAUAUGUGUGUAUAUAUUUAUGUGUCUGUGUUUGUCCCCCCAACAUCGCUUGACAACCGAUGCUGGUGUGGUUACGUCCCCAUAACAUAGAGGUUCGGCAAAAGAUGCCAAUAGAAUAAGUAUUAGGCUUACAAAGAAUAAGUCUCGGGGUCGAUUUGCUCGACUAAAGGCGGUGCUCCAGCAUGGUCGCAGUCAAAUGACUGAAACAAGUAAAAGAGAGUAAAAGAGACGGAAAAAAUAAUUCAUUGCAAUAGGCAUAAGACCUGAAAUUUGUGGGUGAAUGUGGGUUUACUCGACUAUGUCCGCCCCCAAAUACACAGCUUGUACUUAUUUCGUACAUAGUAUGAAAUAAGAUGCCCACCACGGAGGAACUUGAACUCAGAGUGUGGAACUUGAGGAAAUGUCGCUGGGCAUUUCGACAAACACGAAAAAGUUCCUACCAGCUUGUCAACUUCAUUUUCUAUUGUUUUGCAAGGACAGAAGGACGAAAACUUUCGGUGGGGACUUGUCAAUAUCAUGAAUUCCAGUAUUUCACUGGUUCUGAAUUAAUCAAGUCGAAAUACUUUAUUAACAAACAAUAUUUAAUGCAUUUGACUUAUUUUAUUGAUGCUGACGAGGAAAAAAGAAACUAAACUUCACUUCGUAGUUGGAAUUAGUGGAGGCGCAAUGGCCCAGUGGUUAGGGCAGCGGACUCGCGGUCAUAGGAUCGCGGUUUCAAUUCCCAGACCGGGCGUUGUGAGUGUUUAUUGAGCGAAAACACCUAAAAGCUUCACGAGGCUCCAGCAGGGGAUGGUGGUGAUCCCUGCUGUAUUCUUUCACCACAACUUUCUCUCACUCUUACUUCCUGUUUCUGUUGUACCUGUAUUUCAAGGGGCCGGCCUUGUCACUCUCUGUGUCACGCUGAAUAUCCCCGAGAACUAUGUUAAGGGUGCACGUGUCUGUGGAGUGCUCAGCCACUUACACGUUUAUUUCCCGAGCAGGCUGUUCCGUUGAUUCGGAUCAACCGGAACCCUCAUCGUCGUAACCGACGGAGUGCUUCCAAGUUGGAAUUAAUUCAUAUAAACGUUUUCAAUGUAGCUUGUCGGAAGGAAUGAAGAUUGAAAGUUCUUGAUAUUUCGAGCACAUGGCUCUUUAGUUCUAUAUAUUUUUAGUUCUAGAAUGGAGGUUCCUUUCUCAAACAUGAAUAAUCCUCCUCCUCCUCCUCCUCCUCUUCCUCACGUUUCACUUCUUUCACUUCCUCCACCAUCUUCUGUUCCACUUCUUUCACUUCCUCCUCUUUUACCGCUUUCUCUUUCGCCUCAUCCUCCUCUCCUCCUGUUCCACCUCCUCUCCUACACCCUACUGCUUACUGUUCCACCAUUUGUCAUCCUUUUCCACCAAUUCCUCUUCUUCCUUCUCCUGUUCUAUCUCCGCCACUUCUGCAGCCUUCUGUUUCACCUCUUCUUCUUCUUCUUCUUCUUCUCCUAUUCCUCCUCCUCCACCUCUUCUUCUUCAUCUCCUUCCUCCACCUCUUCCCCUCCUCCUCCCUUUCUACCUCUUCUUCUUCUUCUCUUUCCUCUUCUUCUUCUUCUUCUUCUUCUUCUUCUUCCUCCUGUUCCUCCUCUUCUUCGUCUUCCUCUUCUGCUUCUUCUUUUUUCUCUUCCUCUUCUUUUUUCUUCUUCUUUCUCCUUUUUUCUUCUUCUUGACCCUCCUCCUCUUUCUUCUUUUUAUUCUUUCCCUCCUCCUUCUCCUUCUUUUCUUCUACCUCUUCUUUUUUCCUUUCUCUUCCCCUACUGUUCCACAUCCUCUUUUUCUUCCCCUUCUAUCUACUCCUCUUUCUCAUCCUCUUCUUCUGCUUCUCCUCCUCCCCAUCGUCUCCUCCAUCCUCUCCCCAUCCCUUCAUCCCCUCACUUCUUCUCCUCUUCCUCCUCCUCCCAUCUUUUAUUCUUUUUAUUCCUUCCCUCCUCCUUCUUCUCUACCUCUUCUUCUUUUCUCCUUCUUCUUCUUCCCCUACUGUUCCACAUCCUCUUUUUCUUCCCCUUCCAUCUACUCCUCUUUCUCUUCCUUUUCUUCUCUUCCGCUUCCUCCCCAUCCCCUCCACCAUCCCUACCUCCAUUCCUUCCUUGUCCAUCCCCUUGUCCAUACCCUCCAUCUCCUAUUUCUCUUCCCCGAAUUCCUCUACUACGUCUCUCUCCUUAUACUAUCUUCCGUUUACUGUUUGCCUACUCAGGCCACCACCAGUUUUGUUCAGAUCCCGCUGAUCCACGCAGUAUUUCACAUAGCAAUGCUAGUCUAUAAUAAUAGACUAGAAUAGCUUUAUCCCAAAUUUGCCAGUCGUUAUUAGCGAUAUAUCUUGGUAGGUGUGUUGCUAGAUCACGUAUUUACAAAUAUACCUGUAGCUCCACCCUUUAAUUAUUUCCUCUGUAUACAAGUAACGUUAGGCGUGGGGCGAUAAUCAGUAAUGUGCCGGAUUAAAUAACUUGCAAUAUUAAUUUACGCCUCUGAUCGUUUUGAAUCCAAACACUGUUGAGAUCGAUAUUGCCUUUUAUCCUUCUUGGGCAGAUAAAAUAAAAUACCAGUCAAGUACCAGUCAUAUACAGGGUCUGGGUGUUUAAAACCACGCUCUUCCCCAAAUUGCAUGACCUUGUGCUAAAGUUAGAAAUAAUAAUGAUAACAACAAUAACAACAGCAAUAAUAAUAAUGAUGAUAAUAAUAAUAAUAAUAAUAAUAAUAAUAAUUAUUAUUAUUAUUAUUAUUAUUAUUACUAUUAUUAUUAUUAUUAUUAUUAUUAUUAUUAUAUCACCACCACCACCAUAUACCACAACCACCACCACAUACCACAACCACCACCACAUACCACAACAACCACCACCAUCAUCAUCAUCAUCAUCAUCAUCAUCAUCAUCAUCAUCUCAUCAAGCUUCUAUAUGCUAAUUUAAAUAUUAGGAAUGUUGUAUUGCAGUUUGGUAACAGCGAGUCUCCGCAAAUCUCAAGAAAUUUUCUUAGGGUUCUUGCAGAAUAUAAGAUAAUACAUUUCUGCAGGUGAACAAUGCGAGUUUCAAUUCCAAUAGCUUCUCAUAGUCUAUCGCAACUUCUGGUUCGUAAUCAUACCAUUUUCCUGUUACUUCGAACUCACGCACUCGUCUAACAUCCCAAUGCAAUCGUUUACCUAUACAUUCAUGCCUGCGCUUAUUUUCGUUUUCUACUAGCUCACUGCACUCAAAAAGUGAUAAUUGAUACUUUCAUCUCCUUCCCUACACAUUCUGUGUUUGCUGUCUGACUGGCUUUGUCGAUCUUCGCCUUUAUGACAUCCGUCCUAACGUCUCGUUCCUGAAUAUCUAUAAGUAGCGCUUCGGUUUUUCGUUUCAAGUUUCCGUCCGUCAGUCAUAGCAAGCGUUCUUUACUUCCAGUAUCCUCCACGACUUGCGGUAUGAAUUGGUAAUUGGCCAUGUAAUUCCAUUUUUUCCUAUCUGCGUGUUUUUCCGUGCCUUCUUGAAUUCUAUUGUUUCAGUAAUUAUUUGGGUAUUUCUAGCUGCCCAUAGUAUUCUUUCCUCACUCCGCAUGACAUAAUUUUUCAAUCCCAAUAGCGCAGUACUAACAAUGUUUACUGCGUUUAGUAAUCCUCUGCCUCAUUCCUUUCUUGAUAGGCAGUCUCUCGGUAACCCUUAUAGGGUGGUGUGUUUUGUGCAUUGUGAGCAGAAGGGGAUAUAUAUAUAUAUAUAUAUAUAUAUAUAUAUAUAUAAUUAAUCAAUAUAGGGUAGCAAAAAAAUUCAGCAGAAAUUAUUUUGCUACCAGCGGUCUAGUGAGAAAAAAGGAAAUAGUCAGAGACUAUUUAUAAAUUCAACCGAACGGAGUUGCUGCGAUAAAUUGGCGCGAGUACGAUGAUUUUGAAAAUUUUAGGUUAGAUAUUGCCGAAGCGGUAGUGGUGCUGCCUCGUGUAAAUAUCUCUCCCUCCUGGCUUACUUUACUGAUGAAUCUGUUGGCCUAUGGAAGAUUAGCUUGAUUUAAUUUAAUCAGGCUGAUUUACCAUUAAAAAACGAUGAAACAAUGCAUUGUAUAAAGUGAAACAGGGUAAAUGUUUUUUUAAUUUUCUCCUGAUUUACGGAAUUACUAUAAUUUUGCUAUAUAUAUAUAUAUAUAUAUAUAUAUAUAUAUAUAUAUAUAUAUAUGUAAUGGCGGUGCCCCAGCAUGGCCACAGCUCAUUAGCUGAAACUGGAAAAAUCAAAAAUCAAAAUCAUGUAUAUGUAAAAAAAUACAAACUGGGACAAGAACGCAAACCAUUUAGAAGACGAUACAAAAAACAUGGACGGGACAUUCGAAGCCUUCAAUCUUCAGUCAAGAACCGGAUCAUCCUCGCAAUUUCGGUUGAUUAAUCUUGUAUUACACGUCCACACAUAUGUGUGCGUGUUGGCGCUUGACUGCGAGUCUGUUCGUAUGUAUAUAUGUGUGUGUGUGUGUCUGUGCGUGUGUAUUUGUGUGUAUGUGAGUGUGUCCGUGUGUGUGUAUGUGUAUGUGUGUGUAUGUGCGCACGUAUAUGUGUAUUUGUGUAUGUGUUUGUGUGUAUAUAUAUUCGUGCGUGCAUACACAGACACAUAGACAGACAGACACAUACACACACACAUACACAUAUAUGCAUACAUGUAUUUAUAAAAGUGUAUGCAUAUAUAGGAAGAUGUGUGGAUGGAUAGAUAAAUUAGACAAACACAUAGAUAGAUAGAUAGAUAGAGAGAGAGAGAGAGAGAGAGAGAGAGAGAGAGGGAGAGAGUGAGAGAGAGAAAGACAGGCAGACAAAUAGAUAUAUAGAUACAGACAUGUGCUGGAAUGUUUGUGUGUCUAUGUGUGUGUGUGUGUGUGUGUGUGUAUGUUUGCUCGUCUGUAUAUAUAUAUAUAUAUAUAUAUUUGUGAGUUAUAUAUACCAUUUGUGAGUUAAGGCUACCAUUGGUUUCGCGUUGAGAAAAAUAGGAAAACAUUAUUGUGUCAGCAAUUUUUCAAUUUUUCAGGUCGAUCACACGGAGAAAGGUCUCCAUGUGUGCGUGUGUCUAUGUAUACAUAUACUUACAUUCGAUAUACACACACACACGGACAGACAUGUAUGAAUAGAACAUGCUUGUUUAUAUGUGUAAGGUUAUGCAUGUCCAUGCAUAUGUAUUUAAGCCUGUAAGUGCAUGGAUGGAUAUUUGUGUAAGUGUCGUGUGUGUGUGUGUGUGUGUGUGUGUGUGUGUGUGUGUGUGUGUGUGUGUGUGUGUGUGUGUGUGUGUGCGUGCGUGUGCAUGCACAUACGUGUGUGCACUGUCUAUUAACCCCAAAGUACUUAAUGAAAUACAAUGAAACUCAUUUAGUGUAAAGAGAAAAUACAAAACACCAAAGCAUAAAAAUAAAAAAUAAUACAAAACAAAAAAAACAUACAUAAAAAUAUAAAAUGAAACGAAUAAAUUUUACAAAAGGGUGUGUGAAGCAAUCUGGGAGGUGGAUCAGUGGCCACCACCCCAUGGGGGUCUGCCCUUAUUUUAAUUUUCCUUCUUCACAUCAAUAAGCUGAGCUUGUUGGGUGUUAAUAGACGAAUGAAUGAAUACAGUGAGUAGGCGAUCCCCUAUAAUUAAGGGGUAUACACUUUCUUUCUUUCUUUCUUUCUUUCUUUCUUUUAUUUUCUAUCGUGUUUUGGUCGUCUGACGGCUGGUGGUGGUCUUAGUGGGUUGGUGAUGGUGGUGCAAUGGUUGUGGUGAUAGUGAUGUUGGUGGUAUUAAUAGCGUAUAAUCCAUUAAAUCGGGGGAUUUGCGUAGACCAAAAUAAAGAAAGAAAAGAAAAGAAAAGAAAAGAAAAGUAAAAAUGCAGAGCGAUAGAGUAUUAAUUCGCUAAAUAUGGAGAGAAGAGAGAGAGAGAGAAAGAGAGGGACAGAGAGAAAGAAGAGAGAGAGAGAGAGAGAGAAAGAGAGGGGCAGAGAGAAAGAAGAGAGAGAAGGAGAAUGGAGGAGGAAGAGGAUUCAGGACAGACGAAAUAGUAACAUAGUGAGUGUGUAUGCAUGAACAUGCAUACACACACACACACACACACACACACACACACACACACACACACACACACACACACACACACACACACACACACACACACACAUAUAUAUACAUGUAAAGUAAAUACAUACAAAUGAAUGUAUUAUUAUGUGAGUGUGUGUGUAUAUAUAUAUACACAUAUAUGCACAUACAUAUAAAUGUAUGCAUUAUUUUGUAAAUAUAUAUAUAUAUAUAUAAACUUGUACUGUUUAUUAGUCGUAAGACACCCGCUGUUUUUGUCCUGUUUUUACCAUUAUUGGUUUUUGUAUUUUAUAUUCGUGCGGCAUCGUCCGUUUUUCUGUCCCUAUUUCGUAUACAUUCGAUCCUUCUUCCAAGAAAUCUAAUGCUCGUAGAUUAGUUUUUCCCAGAGCGAUCUCAAGAUUAAUCAGCCGAAAUUGCUACGAUGAUCCGGUUCUUGACUGAAGAUUGAAGGCUUCAAAUGUCCCGUCCGUGUUUUUUGUAUCGUCUUCUAAAUGUUUUACGUUCUUGUCCCAGUUUGUAUUUUUCUACAUAAAAUAAUAUAUACAUAUAUACAUACAUACAUAUAUAUAUAUAUAUAUAUAUAUAUAUAUAUAUAUAUAUAUAUAUAUAUAUAUAUAUAUAUAUAUAUAUAUAUAUAUAUAUAUAUAUAGAUAGAUAGAUAGAUAGAUACACAUAUAUACACACACACAGUUAUAAAAUAAUGCAUAUGAAUAUAUUAAAUGUAUGUAUUAUUCUUUAGGUAUAUAUAUAUGUAUGUGUGUGUGUAUAUAUAUAUAUAUAAACAUAUAUGUACAUAUAUAUGUAUGUAUGUACAUAUGUAUGUGUAUAUAUAUAUAUAUAUAUAUAUAUAUAUAUAUAUAUAUAUAUAUAUAUAUAUAUAUAUAUAUAUACACACAUAUGUAUAUAUGCUGUAGAAAUUUGCCUAAGAGACCACUAUUGAUAGUAUGAAGCAAUCUAAUUCUGAAGGAGAUUGAAAAGGUAACACCUUAAACUUGACCGUUGUAUUUUCCUGCAUUGCAAUUGCAGCUGCUGUUCUAACCGCCCUUCAGGACUGCUUUCGGAAGACGCUGAUUUGAAAGAGAUUUGACUGUCAUUUCUAGCGUGCGUAUAUAUAUAUGUAUAUGUGCGUAUGCAUAUAUGUAUGCAUACAUACAUAAAUCUACCUUACGUUCGGUUCUAAUUUACUUAAUCUAGAAUUUAAUAUCUUUAAAAACUGAAAAUUGCGAAGUACUCGAAACUGGAGAAAAAACAAAAAAUAGAAAAAAUUUGUGCUUCCAGUUCUUAAAAGCUGUCAGAUUGAAUAUCUAUCGCCCAAUCUGGGUAACCCUGUUAUAUCGUUCUAAAUUGAUAUACAAUAUACGAUUUAGUUGGGAGAAAAAAAAAAGGAGAAAAAAGAAAACGGAGCGAUCGUCCAAUCACGUUAUAGAGUAUUAAACGUUCAUAAAACGAUGAAUGUGUUGAUUCGAUAACUUAAAUAGUUUUGCUUGUCAGACAUACAAACAUUUAAGACGUUGUUAUAUGAUAGCCACGAUAUUGUUGUUAAGCAGGUCAGAUCCAAAGAGUUACAUUGCUUGUGUUACAAGUGUUAUACUUAUCUAUCUAUCUAUCUAUCUAUCUAUCUAUCUAUCUAUCUAUCUAUCUAUCUAUCUAUCUAUCUAUCUAUCUAUCUAUCUAUCUAUCUAUCUAUCUAUCUAUCUAUCUGCCUGUUGAUAUGCGUGGGUGUCUUUGUGUAUGUAGGUGUCAAUGUGUAUGCACGCAUUUAGCUGCGUUCAGAUAAACUUCUACUCAAGCAUAGAAUAUGCAUAUAUGCAUAAAUACUAUGCAUGUAUACAUAUCUAUCUAUCUAUUUAUGCAUGGUAUAUAGAUAUAUACAUAUAUAUGUGUGUGUAUACAUAUGUAUAUGCAUACAUACGUACAUAUAUAUAUAUAUAUAUAUAUAUAUAUAUAUAUAUAUAUAUAUAUAUAAUAGAAAUGGUAAGACAACAAAAGAAUGAAAGGGACAUCGAUACUAUGUAAAUAGAGGAAUUUAUCUGUAAAUAUAUGUGACAAUUAUUCCGUAGCCUGGCCCGAUAACUGAAGAGAUGCCGGCGUGGGUUUCCGCCCCGACAUCCGAAACUCGGAGUUUUAUCAUGGCCACCGAAUAAUUAUCACAUAUCAUAUUUACACACACACACACACACACACACACACACACAUACAUAUAUAUACGACGGGCUUCUUUCAGUUACCGUCUAUCAAAUCCACUCGCAAGGCUUUGGUCGGCCCGAGGCUAUAGUAGAAGACACUUGCCCAAGGUGCUACGCAGUGGGACUGAACCCGGAAACAUGUGGUUCGUAAGCAAGCUUCUUACCACACACCCACACCUGCGCCUAUAUAUACACACACAUAUAUAUAAUACACACAUAUAUAUAUAUAUAUACACACAUAUAUAUAAUACAUAUAUAGUUUGGCCAUGGGCUCUUAGGAGCCUAGUUCGAUUUGUUUUGCUCCGCCUCUGUUCUGUUUUUGUUUUUUCCAACGGAUUUCCUAUUUCUUCCUGAAGAGAAAGACACAAUAUGGUCUCAUUAUUCAAUCGGAAUUUGGUAAAUUGUGCCUUUCGAAAAACGUGUAGAAUGAAAUAAAACGAUUUCUGUUCAAUCUUCGUUCAACUCCAUUUCUUCAAUUCACUAAUAUAUAUAUAUAUAUAUAUAUAUAUAUAUAUAUAUAUAUAUAUAUAUAUACAUUCAUAUAUUUGUUUAUAUAUAUAUAUAUAUAUACAUACAUACAUACAUACAUACAUACAUACAUACAUACAUAUACAUACAUAUAUAUAUAUAUAUAUAUAUAUAUAUAUAUAUAUAUAUAUAUACACAUAUAUACAUAUAUGUAAUAUCUACUUAUCAGCUUGUGUUUCCAUAUAGAUAUAUAAAUAAAAACACACAUGCACACUCACACUCGCACGCACAUACACACGCGUACGUGUGUAUGCGUGCGUGUGUGUUUGUCUUCGUGUGAGUGCGUUAGUGCGACUGAAUAUGUGUGUGUGUGUGUGUGUGUUUGUGUGUGUAUAUUAAAUGAAGAUAUCUACCACAAUAAUUAAAGAAGGAAAAUAAGGAAACUGAUACAUAAUAAGCACAAUUUAUUGUAUUCGGUUCAGGCGUAGUUUAAGAGGCAUUCAUCUCCAUAGGCGUUUAUAGAUAUCGCUCAAGUUACUUCCAUUACAAUGCACAAUGGCAUAAGUGUCAUAUGAAAACAGUUUUCACAGUUACACGUUAAUUAAAUAUCAAAAACUCAAAAGAAAAAAGUAAUCGAUUUACGAUGCGAAUUCGGCUUUAGGAUUUCCGAGUAGAAACGCCCUAUGCACAAAAGGGGUGGGUUCUGUAAAAAAAAGUAAUUGAAAAAUUAAAAACGGAACGAAAAAUAAAUAUUUAGAGGAAUAGAAAUAUGGAAAGGAAUAAAGAAUACAAAAAUAAUUAACAAAUUGAUCUUAACACGAGUUGAAAGUGGUAUGGAGUUAACAGUGUAAAGAUGCAUUACAGCGUUACUACUCCAUGUCUCCAUAAAGCGCGCGCGCGCCACAUGCUCUCCCCCCUCUCUCUCUCUCUCACACGCAUAUGUUUGUAUGUACAUUAAUAUAUAUAUAUGCUUAUGUAUGUGUAUAUGUAUAUAUAUAUAUAUAUAUAUAUAUGCUUAUGUAUGCAUGUAUAUAUAUAUAUAUAUAUAUAUAUGCUUAUAUAUGCAUGUAUAUAUAUAUAUAUAUAUAUAUAUAUAUAUAUAUAUAUAUAUAAAGAUUAAGCAGCCGAAAUUGCGAGGAUGAUCCGGUUCUUGACUGAAGAUUGAAGGCUUCGAAUGUCCCGUCAGUGUUUUUUGUAUCGUCUUCUAAAUGUUUUACGUUCUUGUCCCAGUUUGUAUUUUUCUACAUAUAAUAUAUAUAUAUAUGCUUAUGUAUGUAUGUAUAUAUAUAUAUAUAUAUAUAUGUAUAUACAUAUAUACACACACACACACACACACACACACACACACACAUAGGUGUGAAGGCACUUGGCUUAGUGGUUAAGGUGUUGCACUCACGACUGCGAGAUCGUGGGUUCGAUUACCAGACCAGGCGUUGUGUUGUGCUCUUGAGCGAAGCACUUCAUUUCAGUUGCUUUGCGAUCAUUUCGACAUCUGACCUGUGGCACCCGUUGCACCUGUACAGGUGAUAUCGAUCGAUAGGACAGAGUGAGCUUAUGUCUAUACAAACUUUUGAUCACUAUAAACAAACGACUUCAGUACUUUUUAAAGCUAGUACUUAUUUUAUUAGUUUGUUUAUAUAGAUACACACACACACACAUGUGUGUAUGUGUGUGCAUAUAUAUAUAUAUAUAUAUAUAUAUAUAUAUAUAUAUAUAUAUAUAUAUAUACAUUUAUACCCACAUUUAUACACACACAUACGUAUACAGUUAUAUAUAUAUAUAUAUAUGAAGUGUAUAUGUAUGUGUGUGCGUGUUUGAGUGUGUAUAAAUGUAUGCAUACACAUAUGCAUGCAUACAUAUUUAUAUACAUAUAUAUACACAUAUACAUAUAUAUAUAUGUAUAUUCAUGUAUAUUCAUGUAUAUACAUGCAUAUACACAGGAAUAUAUUUAUAUACAUACGCAUAAAUAUAUUUAUGCAUAUAUGUAUAUAUAUUUAUAUGUGUAUAUAUAUAUAUAUGCAUAUACAUAUGUAUAUAUAUAUAUAAACGUAUAUAUAUAAUGAGAGAGAGCGUGAGAGAGAGCGCGAGAGAUACAUGCAUGCAUAAAUACAUACAUACAUACAUACAUGCAUGCAUGCAUGCAUGCAUAGCUGCAAAUAUAUAUAUAUACAUAUUUCACUUUUCCACCAUGUUUUAUAACUGAAAGAAGUACGAAUAUGAUAACUUACAGCAUUAAGCUAUUUCUCUACAAGAUUCGGUUAUUUUCUCACAAGAAUUAAUUAUAUAUUACAGUAUAAGUUUAUUGUUACCUUGCAAUAUUAAAUUACCUCAUUACAAAUUUGUUAUAAAUUCUUUCUUUAUAAUUCUGAGUUAUUUUCUUAACAUCUUGAAUAAUUUCUUUAUGUAAUUCCUUAAAUAUAGGCGUAGGAGUGGCUUUGUGGUAAGUUGCUUGCUUAUCAACCUCAUGGUUCCGGGUUCAGUCACCCUGUGUGGCACCUUGACCAAGUGUCUUCUACUAUAGCCUCGGGCCGAACAAAGCCUUGUGAGUGGAUUUGGUAGUCGGAAACUGAAAGAAGCCCGUCGUGUAUAUAUAUAUAUAUAUAUAUAUAUAUAUAUAUAUAUAUAUAUAUUUGUAUGUAUGUAUGUGUGUGUAUAUGUUUGUGUGUCCGUGUUUGUCCCCCCAACGCGGCUUGACAACCGAUGCUGGUGUGUUUACGUACCCGUAACUUAGCGGUUCGGCAAAAUAUACCGAUAGAAUAAGUACUAGGCUUACAAAGAAUAAGUCCUGGGGUCGAUUUGCUCGACUAAGGGCGGUGUUCCAGCAUGGCCACAGUCAAAUGACUGAAACAAGUAAAAGAUUAAAUAAUUCGCAACAAUAUUCUUUUUUAUCUUUAUUUUCUUACAUAAGGCGGCGAGCUGGCAGAACCGUUAGCACGACAGGUAAACUGUUUUGUGGCACUUCGUCCGUCGCUACAUUCCAAGUUGAAAUACCGCCGAGGUCGAUUUUACCUUUCAUCUUUUCAAUGACGAUAAAAUAAAAUGCUGGCCUGGCGCUAAAAUUUGAAACCGAUAUUUAUUUUUUACAGUUAUUACCAUCUCUGUUCAAUUAAAUUGUCUUUAUUUUCACUAUCUCUCCUUCUUCAUGACAAUUGUAUGACUUUUUUGCUAAUGUGACGAAUCGUGUUGUUUUUUUUUUAUUUUAAUCAUUCUUUUCUUUUUAUGAUUUUGUUUUUGCAGGAGUUGACUUGUCACUACUAGUUCACCAGGCACGAAUAAAUCGUACUACGACACUUUGAUCUUCAACCAAAACUCUGACUAAAGAGAUAGAUAAACGAAUAAAUAAAUAAACAGCAAAAAAAAAAGAAAAUCAACACACAAAAAUCUAAAAAAUAAAAUUAUUCCACAUCAUCGUAUAUUAUUUACAGUUUACCUGUGUCUUCUUCAACCUCAUCUUAAUAAUUUUCCAAGAAAAAGUUUUCUAUUGCAUAUUCUAGAUGCGUUAUCUUCGAGUUUUUGAGUCACCAUAACACAUUUAACUACGCAGUUGAUUCAUGCUUUAACUUCUUCCUUCGAAACUUUC
rnacentral:lncRNA from 1 species